GGAAACAAGAAAUAGCAUCCUAUCUCAGAUCAUCCAAGAAAUAACAGUCUCUUAGACCAAAGGUCCAGUUCUGCUGAAAUACAGAGGUGAGCAAGAAUCAGAAUGUAGAUCUGUCCUCACCAUAUCCUUCUCAUUCUGGUGAGUGAACUGUCCAUAAUACUUUGAAGUAUCUAGUCCCAAGUGGGACCAUGGCUGUCCUGAUAGGAGAUAUGACAUUACAUUGUCUCCUCAUCUGACCAGUUCAAGAGAGAAGGUCUAUCCAACAAUUAUUCCAAGAAAAGGAUCCACAUUCCUUUUCAACAAAAGCCAUCUCCCCACCCCUUCCGCUACCAACUACUACUAGAAACUACAUCCUUUUGUUCAUCAGAAACUUAAAAAGAAACAAAACCUGAGUCCCAUUGGAUAAGCCAAGGUGUAGAGGAAAGAUUCCACAGUUGGGAGAGAACACUGUAGGAAAAUGUUCAUAAUUACAAGAGGACCACAACGACUGCCAACUCUUCUUGGAGGCCACCUAAUCACCUAACGCAGCCUGCUUACUUGCAAACAAGAGACAGGGUCCUGAGAAAUCCAACCAGUCCCAGAACCAAGAUGAGAUGUCUUCUGUUGAGACCAACUUAACACCAUGCCGGCACCACACAGCAAUCCAGACACAAAAUGGGCUUUCACGUAACUCGUUGGCUCAAUCUGAAGGGCAGUGUUACAGGAUAGUAGACUUUGAAUAAAUGUCAAAGGGC
rnacentral:lncRNA from 1 species